UACGAAUGGGGCAAGCGUUGUUCGGAAUCACUGGGCUUAAAGCGUGCGUAGGCGGAUCUGCAAGUCAGAAGUGAAAUCCCAGGGCUUAACCCCUGGAAUUGCUUUUGAAACUGCAAGUCUAGAAUCUUGAAGAGGUUAGCAGAAUUCCGAGUGUAGAGGUGAAAUUCGCAGAUAUUCGGAGGAAUACCAAUGGCGCAGGCAGCUAACUGGGCAAGUAUUGACGCUGAGGCACGAAAGCGUGGGGAGCAAACAGG
rnacentral:rRNA from 1 species